rnacentral:rRNA from 1 species
GAUUAACGCUGGCGGCGUGCAUAACACAUGCAAGUCGAACGAUGAAACUUAAAUGAUUUCUUCGGAAUGAACUUAAGUGGAUUAGUGGCGGACGGGUGAGUAACGCGUGAGUAACCUGCCUUACACAAGGGGAUAGCCGUUGGAAACGACGAAUAAUACCCUAUGAAACUAUCACUUCGCAUGAAGCGAUAGUCAAAGUGUUAGCGGUGUAAGAUGGACUUGCGUCUGAUUAGCUAGUUGGUGAGAAAAAAGCCCACCAAGGCAACGAUCAGUAGCCGGCUUGAGAGAGUGUACGGCCACAUUGGGACUGAGACACGGCCCAGACUCCUACGGGAGGCAGCAGUGGGGAAUUUUGCACAAUGGGGGAAACCCUGAUGCAGCGACGCCGCGUGAUUUAGAAGGCCUUCGGGUUGUAAAAAUCUUUUGUAUAGGAAGAAAAUGACAGUACUAUACGAAUAAAGUCCGGCUAAUUACGU